CGUGGCUCAGCUGGUAGAGCGUUCGCGUACAAAGCGUAGUUUGCGUCCAUGCGUGGGUUCGAAUCCCAUUG
rnacentral:tRNA from 1 species